rnacentral:lncRNA from 1 species
CUUCCCCGCUCCCCCGCGUCCUCCGCCGCCCGCCGCCCGUCCCUUCGGAAGCGCCGAUUCCUCGGGGAGGAGGAGGCGUGAGGGGAGGCGGCGGAGGCAGCCGGCACGGGGCGCUCGGGCCGCGGGGCAGGGGGCGCGGGGUGCCUCCUCGGCCUCGGCUCUCCCCGCCCCGGGGCGCCCCGAGACCGCCGCCUGCCUCCGCGGGCAGCUUUGUUCUUCUUUCCUCCAACUACCUGUCUGAGCCGCGGGCCCCAGAGGCCCCAAAGAGAGGCCCGGAGGGUCUCCCCAGCAGCAUCCGAGGGGCGCUCUCGGGGAGCUAGGGGCCAGAGUCCGCGGUCCCUCCGUGCCUGCCUCCCUCCCCUCGUGCCUCGGUCUUUUGUUGCCUCUACUCCUCGGCACGGCGCAGCCUGGGCUCUCUUCCCCCUCCCGCUUGGGAGUUUGCAGUGUGGACGCUCGGCAAGCACAGUUUUACUGAAGCACUGUUUGCAGAAAGCCUAGCGGGCUCAGAAAACCAGCCAUGCCAUGGUGGGAAGAAAGCCUUGCUGAGAUCCUGUGGCUGAAAACCAUCAUGGGCUUUUGCUUUCAGACUGCCCAUUGCCAACCGAUGCAGGCCCAGAGAAGCAAGGAGGAGUGCUGUUCUGGGAAGGCGGUGGGCACAUAGAUGGAGCUAGACUUGCGACUUCAGGCCCUCAGCAGCCACAUGAUCUUGCAGCUGUGGGCCAUGCACCUGCUUCUUGGGCCCAUGAUUAACCAGAUGUUCAGCUCCUUAAAGACAGACUUCGGGGCCCUUGGCUGGCAGGGGAUGCAAUCUGCAGAUGAGAAGCUCUGAGAAGCAGUUCUCAAAGCCAGGAUCCAGAGGCUCAGCCAUGUGAGUUUCCUGUGAGAGGGAAAAGGCAGGAGCAUAGAGGCCACUGAAGUUGUUCUCAAAAGCCCCAAGAUACCUUUGGUCUCAGUGGAGGCAUCCAGGACACAGCUGUCUUCACUUCUUCACUCAGUCAUUUAGAAAUUGUUCAGUGAGCACCCACCCUGUAUAAUUCACUGCUGCUGCAGCUGAGCUCAACAUGGUGUCAUCUAGGGGAGGAGCUUGAAGAGGUUGUGUUAAGGAAGAACCACGAGAGGAGUGCCCAGUUGGAUGUGACCCCGGAUGUGUAGGCAUCCAGGAGGCUGAAAGAAGGCUGACCCAGGGCCUGAUCACUUGACAAUGGACAUGCUACCUCACAGAGCAUAACACCACAACUAACACAUCCUGAGCCCUCAAUCAAUGUUGUGCAAUAAAGGAAUAAACCUGGAUGUCUUUCCUGUAACCAAACAUUGGACUAUUCAUCAACUGUGCACUUUUUGUUCCCCAACGAGCACAAGGGUUUGGACUGCACCAUCCCCACUCUUUCUUGACUCUCUCUGUACACCAUAAAUGCAUGGUUCAGGGUGAUUUUGCUGGGCAAGGGUGAUGGUUUGACUAUUUGUGUCCCUCCAAAAUUCAUGUUGACACUUAAUGCCCAUUGUGGUGGUAUUAAGAGGUAGAGACUUUCGGGAAGUGAGUAAGUCACGAGGCCUCUUUAUAAAAGAAGCUUCAGGCCAGGUGCAGUGGCUUAUGCAUGUAAUCCCAGUACUUUGACAGGCUGAGAUGAGAGGAUCAUUGAGCCUAGGAUUUCAAAACUAGCCUGGGCAACAUAAUGAGACCCUAUCUCUAUUAAAAGUAAAACAUUAGCUGGGCAUGGUGCGGUGCACCUGUAGUCUCAGCUACUUUGGAAGCUGAGGCAGGAGGAUCACUUGAGCCCAGGAGGUUGAGGCUGCAGUGAGCUAUGAUUGCACCACCGCACUUCGGCCUAGGCAACAGCGUGAGACCUUGUCACACACACACACACACACACACACACACACAAUAGUUUCAGACAAUAGCCUGGCCUGGCCUUCCCAUCUCUUCUGCUGUGAAAACACAACAUGCAUCCCUUUUUGCCUCUUCAGCACAUGAGGAUAUAGCAAAAAGGCCCAGGCCCUCAACAGGCACUGAAUCUGCUGGUACCUUGAUCUUGGACUUCAGAGCCUCCAGAACCAUAAGAAAUAAAUUUCUAUUCUUUAUAAAUUACUGAAUCUGUGGCAUUUUGUUACAGCAGCACAAACAGACUAGGACAGGGAGGUUGGGAGUGCACCGUGUGAUGUGUCUUUGCAAAGUCUACCCUGUACCAAGCUGACUGGCCCUAUGGGAUUUGUUAGCAACUAGCUGGGCCAGAUCAUUAGAAAACAAUUUGAAAUGCAGAAUGAGGAAUGGUGGCAAAUUUGGCUAUUUUUCUCAGGGUUUUGUUCAGCACCAUUUGCUGCCAUGCUACCAGCAUAGUGGUUUGUGUGGCCUGUACAUCCAGAAUACCUGGGUUCAAAUCCUGCUCCCUGCCUGUGUGAUCUUGAGCAGGUGAUAUGAGCUGCCUGUGCCAAGUUCCGCAUCUGUAAAGUGAGGGUGGUAAAAGGACCUACCUCGUAGAGUUGCUAUGAGAAUGAAGUAAGUUGGCGGGUGAAAAGGUGGUGAAUAUUCGUAUUAUUGAUGUUAUUAUCACUGUAAGCAGCAGUGGCAGCAGCUGCCAAGCCUCACAUUCCAACCUGAGAAUUUCCAAGAGAAGGCAGAUGAUCUUGUAAAACUCCAGGAAGUCACAUCUCUGAUUUCCAGCCCUCCUGUCUACAGAGCCAAACCUUUCCGCAGAACUCUCCCUGCUACCAUAAAAUGCUGCCUCCACAGAGGGAACCCUCCCCAGGCACAAGGCAGAUGGUUGCUCCGUUCCAUGUGGCCCCUCACUGCAGUGCAGUGAUGAUGUUUGGGCUGAGCAAAAGACUUCAGUGCUCAGAGGAGAAGGAGCAGGAGGCUUUGCCAGCUUCCAUUUGCAUGAGAAAAGAACUGAGAGGAGAGGGGAGAAGGGGGAAGAUGCUUGCUUCCUCCUUCCAUCUUGGCAUUCACAGAGCAGGCUGCAUUUGAACACUGCCGUGCUAUGUACAUUGGAUCCAUGCAAUGUUACAUAAGUAUUUCAUAAGGGACAAGGUGACUUUGUGUUUUUUUCACCUGUUCUUCUCCUCUGAUCCCAGAAGCUGGGAAGUAGGCUGGAUGCAGAGAAAAGAGCAUUGUUCUCAAGUCUGCUUCACUGCUUAAAGACUAAGAAGGAAAAAAAAUAGAAAGGAAAACAAGAAUCAUUGUCUCUUUUGUUUUCUCUUUAAAAUAUAAAAGGAACUCUGAAACCAAAGUUCGGAUGACAUCGUAUGACAUUUUCCUUUCCACAUGGAAAAAUUUUGAAUAAAAGAUCUGUUUUCUGGGUUGACACUUCUGGGCUCUUUCAAUCUCCAGUAGCAGCAAACUGCUGUCAUUUCUGGAAAUAAGGAUGGCAAGACUCAGGGGGUUAAUCUGCCUGAUUUUGCUCUCCAAGGGUGACAGCGUAAAGCUCUUUGGCUCUGCAUCCACAGUAAUAGCUGAGGGCAGCGCUGCCCAACAGAACUUUCUGUGGUGAUGGAAGCCUUCUCUAAUCUGUGCUGCACAUCUGGCAGCCACGAGCCACACGUGGCUAUUGAGCGCUGGAAGUGGGGCUGCUGUGACUGUGGAACUGAGUUAACUUCACUGUUAAUUUAAAUUUAAAUGGCCACGUGUGGUCUGUGGCUACAGUAUUGGCAGGUGCAUGAGAGCAAUAGCAAAACAAACUGUAAGUAGCAUCCACAGAUGUUGACUGAAUGCAUCACACAGAUAAGAUGGAAAAGGAAGAGCCUAAAAGUUCUGAAGAGUGAUGUUCCCCUUCCACAGGAGCAGUUUAUGUGUCAGUGGCAAUGAUGUUUUAUGAAUAUUUGGGAUGACCAUUUUCUGUUUCAUCUUUCAGCUGUGGGAGUAGCAGUCUACUUUAUUUCUUUUCAAUUUUUUUUUAGAGAUGGAGUCUUGCUAUGUUGCCCAGGGUGAUCUUGAACUCCUGGCCUCACAUGAUCCUCCUGCCUCAACCUCCCAAAGUGUUGGGAUUACAGGCAUGAACCACCAUGCCUAGCUCAGUCUACUUUUUUUAAAAGAGGAAUGAGAUCAAGAUCACAUUUCAAAAAAUAUGUUGUCUCCUAAAGUAAGUAAUAUUUCUACCUGGAAGCUCUUCCUUCAAGUCUAAAGUCAAAGGGAAAGACAAUAAUUUCUUCUAGGCUUUUGAGGUGAUGAUCAUGGGGUUUGCUUAGAUGUCAGAUCCACGAGUCACCCUAAAGCCUGAAGAGACAGAGUAGAUGGGAGCUGGUGUUGGGUGAACACUGGACUGGUCCCAGGGCUGCGGUUCUUGAUCAGUGUAAUGCAGGAAGGAGUCGCCAAUGUGGCCACGCUCCUGGUAGGGGUUCUUUGUAGGUACUAGAGGCUCAGUAGCUGUCCUGAGUCAAAAGACCAAAGAAAAAGGGAAGCCUCAAGGAGAGAUGAGAGGACAGCAGAUGAAAAUGAGCCUGCAGGAAACCAAGCUCUGAGGAGAAAUGGGCAGGCAGCCAAGAGCAGGGCAGAAACUGCAGCAGUAGCAGCGGCAGCAAUGAAGUCUCCAAGUUAUGAGUGGCAGGCUCUGAGAACAAUGAUGGAGCAGGAAGUUAAUGCAGAGGGCAGGCAGAGAGCCCCUGAGACGAUAAGCAAGAUGAGUGGAGAAAACCGACAGGACUUAGACCUGGGCAUGGGCAGCAGAGGACCUUAUCCCAGCAGCAGAGGGACUGGCAGUUAAUGACGAUGCUCGAACAUCUGCUAUACGUUGGGAAUUUUGCACGCAUUUAAUAUUUUGCAUGCAGAUAAUAUUAUUCCCAUUUUAUGAAUGAAUGAGCCCAGACUUAAAGUGCUGGAGGGAUUUAAUAUUCUCCUGGAUCUAUCUGCCUUGCUGGCUACUCCUUCAGGCUUCCUUUUGAGUUCAUUCUUCUCUUACCACGUCUGUAAAUGUUAGAAUUUUUUAAGGAAUGUUACACAGUUGAGUCGUCUUCUCUUCUCACCCCCUACUUACUCAGCACAGUAUAAACCACUCUCUGGGAACUCCAGAAUUUUGUCUCUAUCUGGAAUCUCCCCUAGGAAUGGCAAAAUUAACCUAAAGAAUGUACAAGGAAGGAAAAAAUAGACAUAAACCUAGGUAUUUUUAUUUUGUUAAUUAGAAAAGUAGAAAGAACAGAUAAUGAUUCCAAGAGUUGCUUUUCAUUUAACCAAUAAAAUAACAAACCCUUAACUGACCCAAUAAAGAAAAUGGGAGCAGUCACAAAAUUAGGAAUGAGAAAAUAUUUCAAGAGACCACUCUGCUCAAUGCUAUGUUGAAACUUUUGAAAACCUAAAUACCAAUUAAAUUUUUCCAGUAAAAUAUUUAUGACCAAGGUUUACUCUACAAGAGAGUCUACUACUAGAGUUGCCAGAAUUAGUAUACAGAAAUUUGAAUUUUAGAUAAAUAAUUUUUUAGUAUGUCUUACGCAACAGUUAGGACAUACUUUUACUAAAAAAAAAAAAAAGUCAUUGGUUGUUAUUCUGAAAUUCAAAUUUAAUUGGAAAUCCUGCAUUUUAACUGGCCGAUCUAUUAAAACAGAUAAAUUAUUGUGGAGAAACAAUAGGAACUUGUCAAAAGCUUUAAAAACAUCAAGAUCAGAAGUUUCAGGUAAAGCGUAUGAAUUAAAUUCAAGCAAUAUUUUCAACUCUAUUUAAAUGAUUCCAAAGCAUAAAAAAACAGCUUCUAAGACAUUUUUAUAAAGCUACAAAGACUGAAGUCAAACCUGACAAGGAGAGUUAAAAAAUGUGGGCAAAACAGUGGUGAAUAUUCAUGAUAAAAUCUUACUGUGAUAUUCACAAACAUGGGGGAAUGAUAUUUUCUUUAAAAUCGACAGACUUUUUAGAGAAAAAAGGCAGUUGAAGAAAUUAUCAACAGUGAUUUUACCAAGUUCUUUGUAUUUUUUCUCAGUCUUAACAUGCCUAUAUAUAUUAUGUACAUAAUUCUUAGCUGUAAGUCAUUUUUAUAAUAGAUGCUAUUUUCUGCAAGCCUCUCAAAUUAAAACCCAUUGUUCUGAAAGUACUAAUCAAUGCAAUUACAUAAGGGAAAAAAUGAGACAUAAAUACUUCAACCACGGAGGCAAAAUUAUUACUGUUUUCAAACAAUGUAGUUAUUUACCUAGAAACUGCAAAAGAAUCAAUUGGAGGAAUUCUGUUACCAGCAGAAGAUAGUUCAGUUAGGUGGAUUGGUUUCACAAUGAAUAUCCACAUUCAGUGGCAUUUCAGUAAACAAAUAGUAUUCAGCUAUAAAAUAUAAUGGAGCAAAUUAUCUCAUUUAUAAUAGCAUAAAAAAGAUAAUGUGCCUAGACAUAAAUUUAAUUAAAAAUAUAGGCUAGGUAUGUUGGCUCAUGCCCAUAAUCUCAAGACUUUGGAGGGCUGGAGGAUCCCUUGAACCCAAGAGUUUGAGACCGUGAGACCCCAACUCUACAAAAAAAUAAAAUUAGCUCGGCAUGGUGUGCAUGCCUGUCAUCUCAGCUAUUGUGGAGUCUGAGGCAGGAGGAUUGUUUGAGCCCAGGAGUUUGAGGCUGUAGAGAUCUGAUUGUGCCACUGCACUCCAGCCUGGGUGACAGAGUGAGACCCUAUCUCUAAAAAUAAAUGGGGGGCUAUUAAAUAAAACAACAACGUGUAACACUUCUUGAAGGACAAAAAAAAAAUAAAAAUAAAUAAGUAGAAAGACCUGUCAAAGACCUAUCAUAUUCUUGGGUAGGAAGAUUCAAUACUGUAAAUGCAUAAGUUUACCCUAAAUUAAAUCCAUAGAUCCAAUUUAAUCCUCAUCAAAAUGCCAACAGGCACUUUUAUAUCUUGAUAAAGUAUUAAAGUUACUUGGAAACAUAAGUUUGAGGAAACUCCAUAGACUCCCGUAUGCAAUAAUCCAUUAAUAACCCAGUAAUAUUGGGGAGGAUACACAAGAAGCUGUUUAUAAUAUUCACCUCUUAGCAGUGGAAGUGAGGGGUAAAGACUUGAGCCAAAGAUGUAUUUUCAUGUUAUACUCAUCUAUGCUAUUUGAAUUUUUCCACAGGUGCAAAUAUUACUUAUAUGAUUAAAAAUAGUUAUUUUAAAAGAACAUUUCCAUUAUAUUGAGUACUGAUUUGUAACCCUCUCUGCUCAUUAGAAUCAUAUAGGGAGCUUUGGAAAGACACCAGGUCUCAGCACUUGCCUCCAGAUUCUAAUUCAAUUUGGCUGUGUUAGGGCCCAGGCAAUGGCAUUUUUUACAAAAGUUCUCACUGAUUCUGAUGUGGAGCCAGGGCCGAGAGCCACCACUGUCAAGUAACCCAUGGCAGCAUUUUCCAACUUUUGGUCACAACCCUUCGGUUAGGAAAUCAACUUAAUGGCUUGGGACCAGAGUUAAAAACAAACAAACAACAACAACUGAAACCAACUCAAUUGAGCAGAAACUUGUGCAUGCCUGUUGUGUUUAAGACAUGUCUCUUUCUGGGGGAUGUCAUCCAAAACAUUGGAAAACCCCUACCUUAAGUGGUUCAGAUCUUUCAGACUUUCUGAGACAUUUUAUCAGAAUUUGUGUGAACUAUUAAAGGCUUUUUACUGUUUAAAAGUUAUAUUGUAAUUCUGACUUUUGUUCACGUAUUUGAUGAUUCAAUUAUUUAUUCAUUACAUAGUCAAAGGUAGAAAAUUACAUGUAAUUACUUGUGCUUAUCUGAUAAGCAUAGUGACUGAUGUAUGUAAAUGCUCAAUAUGUGAUGG